rnacentral:lncRNA from 1 species
UUCUUGUAUCUAUAUCUCCUUUAUUCGGAGCAACCCACCCUAAAUAUACAUAUGAUAUACAGUCUAUAGGUGAUCUCUUGUGCCGUGAUACACAUGUUUGCUUAACACAGGAUGUCUUUGUUUAUAUUUAUUUAUUGAAUGCUUCUCUUUGUAACUUCAUUGGGGUGUAAAAGCGUUGACCGAAGUACAUUUUUAUGAAGCGCGC